GAUGAACGCUGGCGGCGUGCCUAAUACAUGCAAGUCGAGCGAACGGACGAGAAGCUUGCUUCUCUGAUGUUAGCGGCGGACGGGUGAGUAACACGUGGAUAACCUACCUAUAAGACUGGGAUAACUUCGGGAAACCGGAGCUAAUACCGGAUAAUAUUUUGAACCGCAUGGUUCAAAAGUAAAAGACGGUCUUGCUGUCACUUAUAGAUGGAUCCGCGCUGCAUUAGCUAGUUGGUAAGGUAACGGCUUACCAAGGCAACGAUGCAUAGCCGACCUGAGAGGGUGAUCGGCCACACUGGAACUGAGACACGGUCCAGACUCCUACGGGAGGCAGCAGUAGGGAAUCUUCCGCAAUGGGCGAAAGCCUGACGGAGCAACGCCGCGUGAGUGAUGAAGGUCUUCGGAUUGUAAAACUCUGUUAUUAGGGAAGAACAUAUGUGUAAGUAACUGUGCACAUCUUGACGGUACCUAAUCAGAAAGCCACGGCUAACUACGUG
rnacentral:rRNA from 1 species